AACAGACCCCUCCCCCAACACUCCGCGCCCCCUAACAGACCCCUCCCCCAACACGCCCCUCCCCCUAACAGACCCCUCCCCCAACACGCCCCUCCCCUCGCCCUCAGAAACCAUUUGGCUCCUGGGAUGGAGAAGACAUUCAGUGGCAUCAUCACCUUGUGAGAACUGAGUUGAUCAUUAUUGUUGUUAUUCACGAAUAGGAUUAUCAGCAUGAUUAUGUGUUCAGUGUUUUUUAGUGUGCAUGUUUUAUGUUUUAUUUUUUAUUUUUUUUGUAUUUGUUAUUUGUUUUUAUUUUAUUUUAAGUACUUUUUUUUCAGCGUUAAUUUUGCAGAUAGAUUUUAGCUUUCAUCAUUGUAGUGUAGUGUGCACGUUUUGUUUCAAAGAUGAAGGGAAGGAACCACACCAGCACUAAGGCCUUCCUCUAUCAGUGUGACUGAACCUCUUCUCAACAUGAUGUUGUUGUUUUGUUGAGCUGUGCUGGUGUCCAAGGCCCCCUUCCUUCAGUAGCACAAACUACUGUACCCAUCAUGCAGUUGUCCAUGUACUAAUUAGUGUCUUAUUGAUGCUGAGCUGGAGGGAAGUCCAGCCUACACACAGUGGGUCCCCAGGAUGGAUCCUGACUGAGACACACUGGCAGACACCACAGGCUGCUGGUUGUCCACGUCACCACAUGGUGGUGCUGUUGUCCUAGCAACCUCAGUAGAAACACAGGAUAAAAACUGAAUACACACCAAGUCAUAUAAAGGACUGUUUUAUAACAUUAUACUUUAACGUUCAUGAUUCUGUUUUAUAUAAAUGUAUAUGUUGACGUUCUUUGACUGUUGUAAAAAAAUAGGAACGAGUGGACACAGGAGAUAUGUGAUAGAAUUGAGUGUUUAUCUGAUGAUGUCACAAGUUGUUUAAUCUUUAGCAUAAAGUAGCCCCUCCCAUUCCAUCUCCUCUAUCCCCUCUGUCCCAUUUCUUCCCAUCUACCCCCUCUCCUAUUCCAUCUCCUCUAUCCCCUCUGUCCCAUGUCUUCCCAUCUACCCCCUCUCCCAUUCCAUCUCCUCUAUCCCCUCUGUCCCAUGUCUUCCCAUCUACCCCCUCUCCCAUUCCAUCUCCUCUAUCCCCUCUGUCCCAUUUCUUCCCAUCUACCCCCUCUCCCAUUCCAUCUCCUCUAUCCCCUCUGUCCCAUGUCUUCCCAUCUACCCCCUCUCCCAUUCCAUCUCCUCUAUCCCCUCUGUCCCAUGUCUUCCCAUCUACCCCCUCUCCCAUUCCAUCUCCUCUAUCCCCUCUGUCCCAUUUCUUCCCAUCUACCCCUCUCCUAUUCCAUCUCCUCUAUCCCCUCUGUCCCAUGUCUUCCCAUCUACCCCCUCUCCUAUUCCAUAUCCUCUAUCCCCUCUGUCCCAUGUCUUCCCAUCUACCCCCUCUCCCAUUCCAUCUCCUCUAUCCCCUCUGUCCCAUGUCUUCCCAUCUACCCCCUCUCCCAUUCCAUCUCCUCUAUCCCCUCUGUCCCAUUUCUUCCCAUCUACCCCCUCUCCUAUUCCAUCUCCUCUAUCCCCUCUGUCCCAUGUCUUCCCAUCUACCCCUCUCCUAUUCCAUCUCCUCUAUCCCCUCUGUCCCAUGUCUUCCCAUCUACCCCCUCUCCUAUUCCUUCUCCUCUAUCCCCUCUGUCCCAUGUCUUCCCAUCUACCCCCUCUCCCAUUCCAUCUCCUCUAUCCCCUCUGUCCCAUUUAUUCCCAUCUACCCCCUCUCAAAUUCCAUCUCCUCUAUCCCCUCUGUCCCAUGUCUUCCCAUCUACCCCCUCUCCCAUUCCUUCUCCUCUAUCCCCUCUGUCCCAAUCCUUUCUCUCUACCCCCUCUCCCAAUCCUUUCUCUCUACCCCCUCUCUCAUUCUCCAGUGCCUUAUCCUCAGGGUUGGGGAGUUUACAUGUAACGGUAACUGUAAUCCGUUACAAACAAAAAUAUUGUAAUCAGAUUACAGAUACUUUUGAAAAACUAGAAGAUUACUUCCAGGACUAUUUUUAAAUUCAGAAAGGAUGUUUAUGAAAAAAAAAUAUUGACACUUCUAUGUUUUCUGAAUGACAUUCAAAUCAGCAUUGAAGAAGGAAAAGAGCAGGAAAGGGCUAUUGUAGGCUACAGUCCAAGCCAUGUCUUCCAAUGGUGUGACUGCUGUCGGCAUCCAAAGAUGAUCCAACUUGAAUAAACGCUUGGAGGUGAGGAUGACAGCAAUGGUGGAGUCUACCGCAAUACCGAUAUCACUUAUUAUUAUCUACAUAGCGCAUUGAUGUGAGUCACACUGCAUGCUCUCUUAUUUAGCUAUUUUUGCCUUACGGAUUGUGGUUGUUGUGGAUGGAUGUUCACAAAUCUAAAUGUGGUUUUGAACCCAAUAAUGGUUGAAUUCAAGAAGUUUAAACUGCCUGUCAAUCAAUGUUUUUGAAACCAGUGGAUAGCCAGUGAAAAAAGCACUCUUGAAACAGCUGCAUAGUGCGGAUCCCAGCCUAUGGAAUAACAGCUGCAUAGUGUGGAACCCAGCCUAUGGAAUAACAACUGCAUAGUGUGGAACCCAGCAUAUGGAAUAACAGCUGCAUAGUGUGGAACCCAGCAUAUGGAAUAACAGCUGCAUAGUGCGGAUCCCAGCCUAUGGAAUAACAGCUGCAUAGUGUGGAACCCAGCCUAUGGAAUAACAGCUGCAUAGUGUGGAACCCAGCAUAUGGAAUAACAGCUGCAUAGUGUGGAACCCAGCAUAUGGAAUAACAGCUGCAUAGUGUGGAACCCAGCAUAUGGAAUAACAGCUGCAUAGUGUGGAACCCAGCCUAUGGAAUAACAGCUGCAUAGUGUGGAACCCAGCAUAUGGAAUAACAGCUGCAUAGUGUGGAACCCAGCAUAUGGAAUAACAGCUGCAUAGUGUGGAACCCAGCAUAUGGAAUAACAGCUGCAUAGUGUGGAACCCAGCAUAUGGAAUAACAGCUGCAUAGUGUGGAACCCAGCAUAUGGAAUAACAGCUGCAUAGUGUGGAACCCAGCAUAUGGAAUAACAGCUGCAUAGUGUGGAACCCAGCAUAUGGAAUAACAGCUGCAUAGUGUGGAACCCAGCCUAUGGAAUAACAGCUGCAUAGUGUGGAACCCAGCAUAUGGAAUAAACGUGGUGCUUUUAUUGCACAAUAUAAUUCAAGUUGAUAAAAAUAAAUCCAUAAGCCUACUGGACACAUGCUCAAACUCGUUCACUUUUGAUAGACUUAAAGGGUCAAUCUGUAGAUGGUACAUCCAUAUUUGGACUUAUACAUUAUAUAUACCUGUAUAUAUCCAUUGAUUGUUGAAGAAUAUAACUUAUAAAUGCCUCAUGAGCUUAGUUCAACUGCCACACUCCAUCAGAACCCAAAAUAGAAGCUUGUUUUUCUCCAAUGUUUGUAAACAUUGUAAAUGUAAUCAAACAAGGUAUAGCCUCAUAACAUACUGUAGUUACAACUGUAAUGUUGAUAUCAUGGAUGGUCAGUCCUUACAUCCGUAGCUUUGUCUAUUAAUCUGAGAGUGGUUACAUUUCUCCAGGCCCAUCCCUCAGCCUUUUACCAAAACAGAGGCGGGGUGCCCAUUUUGUUAUUGUUUCAUCUGUGGAGUUGCCCUUUAAACAGCUGCAUAUUAUCAAGAUAUCAAAGUGUCGCCAACGAAAAGGUAAACAAUAGACAUAUAGCAAAUGCAGCAUAUGGCAUUCAUUUUUCACAUGUAAAUAGCCAUUUUCAGUAGUGCUCAAAGCAUGCCAUUCCAUGAGCGAAGCAUUUAUUUUUCAAUUAGAAUCAAUAAGCCCAAUCAGUCCUCAAUGACAAAAUCAUAAACAACACAGUAGGGCUGGCUAAUAAGUCCUUCGUUUUGGGGUUAUACUCAGAUAAAACAGUUUGGCUGAUCUAUACUUCUGUAUUUCCAAGUCCUAUUCUUGAAGGUCAAGGGGUGUAUCAUUUAUUGUAAUGACUGGAAUUCUGAUAGACUGGUUUUUAAUGUAAAGAUAUAAUUUAAUCGUUGUAGUAGAAAGCGAUGGGUUAGAAGAAGCCUACAUAACCAACCCAUAAAGUAAAAUGUAACAUCCAUUUAUGACCAGCUAUGUAAACUCUAACAUUGAUUUAUCCUGCAAUGUUGUUCAAUUGAUAACAUACAUUUUUGUCUUCUUCUUAUGCCUCUUAAGGGGAAAGUCAUCUAAAAUAAAUUGAAUGUAAUCAGAUUACGUUACUGAGUUUGGGUAAUCCAAAAGUUAUAUUUCUGAUUACAAUUUUGGACAGGUAACUAGUUUAGAAAGUAACCUACCCAACCCUGCUUAUCCUACUGUGCCUUCUCCUGUCUCUCCUCUACCCCCCUCUCCCAUUCCAUCUCCUAUACCCUAGUCCCAUUCCCUAGGGCCUGUCUCUCCUCUACCCCCCCUCUCCCAUUCCAUCUCCUAUACCCUAGUCCCAUUCCCUAGGGCCUAUAUCUCCUCUACCCCCCCUCUCCCUUUCCAUCUCCUAUACCCUAGUCCCAUUCCCUAGGGCCUGUCUCUCCUCUUCCCCCCCUCUCCCAUUCCAUCUCCUAUACCCUAGUCCCAUUCCCUAGGGCCUAUAUCUCCUCUACCCCCCCUCUCCCUUUCCAUCUCCUAUACCCUAGUCCCAUUCCCUAGGGCCUGUCUCUCCUCUCCCAUUCCAUCUCCUAUACCCUAGUCCCAUUCCCUAGGGCCUGUCUCUCCUCUACUCCUCUCUCCCAUUCCAUCUCCUAUACCCUAGUCCCAUUCCCUAGGGCCUGUCUCUCCUCUACUCUCCUCUCCCAUUCCAUCUCCUAUACCCUAGUCCCAUUCCAUCUCCUAUACCCUAGUCCCAUUCCAUCUCCUAUACCCUAGUCCCAUUCCAUCUCCUAUACCCUAGUCCCAUUCCAUCUCCUAUACCCUAGUCCCAUUCCAUCUCCUAUACCCUAGUCCCAUUCCAUCUCCUAUACCCUAGUCCCAUUCCCUAGGGCCUUAUCCUACAGUGCCUUCUAUACCCCCCUCCCAUUUUUAUUUUUAUUUAACCAGGAAAAGCCUAUUGAGACACAGAGUCUCUUUUUCAAGGGAGACCUGGCCAAGAAGGCAGCAACAAUCAAUACAUUACAGAAUUAAAACAUACAACAAUACAAUACAACAACAUGAUCCAGCCUAAGAAAAAGCAUUUACACUCCUCUGUAACAGAGUCUCCCAUCAAUAUUUUAAAUGAAUUCCGUGGCACUAACAUCAAUAGUGGAAAAAGUACCCAAUUGUCAUACUUGAGUAAAUGUAAAGAUACCUUAAUAGAAAAUGGCUCCAGCAGUCUAAAGUGGCGCAGCGGUCUAAGGCACUGCAUCUCAGUAAAGGCGUCACUACAGACCCUGGUUUGAUUCCAGGCUGUAUCACAUCCGGCCGUGAUUGGGAGUCCCAUAGUGCGUCGCACAAUUGGCCCAGUGUCGUCUGGGUUAGGGUUUGGCCGGGGAAGGCCCAGUGUCGUCUGGAUUAGGGUUUGGCCGGGGAAGGUCCAGUGUCAUCUGGAUUAGGGUUUGGCAGGGGAAGGUCCAGUGUCGUCUGGAUUAGGGUUUAGCAGGGGAAGGUCCAGUGUCGUCUGGAUUAGGGUUUGACAGGGGAAGGCCCAGUGUCGUCUGGAUUAGGGUUUGGCAGGGGAAGGUCCAGUGUCGUCUGGAUUAGGGUUUGGCAGGGGAAGGUCCAGUGUCGUCUGGAUUAGGGUUUGGCAGGGGAAGGUCCAGUGUCGUCUGGAUUAGGGUUUGGCAGGGGAAGGCCCAGUGUCGUCUGGAUUAGGGUUUGGCCGGGGAAGGCCCAGUGUCGUCUGGAUUAGGGUUUAGCAGGGGAAGGCCCAGUGUCGUCUGGAUUAGGGUUUAGCAGGGGAAGGUCCAGUGUCGUCUGGAUUAGGGUUUGGCCGGGGAAGGCCCAGUGUCGUCUGGAUUAGGGUUUAGCAGGGGAAGGUCCAGUGUCGUCUGGAUUAGGGUUUAGCAGGGGAAGGUCCAGUGUCGUCUGGAUUAGGGUUUAGCAGGGGAAGGCCCAGUGUCGUCUGGAUUAGGGUUUAGCAGGGGGAAGGUCCAGUGUCGUCUGGAUUAGGGUUUAGCAGGGGGAAGGCCCAGUGUCGUCUGGAUUAGGGUUUAGCAGGGGAAGGCCCAGUGUCGUCUGGAUUAGGGUUUAGCAGGGGAAGGCCCAGUGUCGUCUGGAUUAGGGUUUAGCAGGGGAAGGUCCAGUGUCGUCUGGAUUAGGGUUUGGCCGGGGAAGGCCCAGUGUCGUCUGGAUUAGGGUUUAGCAGGGGAAGGUCCAGUGUCGUCUGGAUUAGGGUUUAGCAGGGGAAGGCCCAGUGUCGUCUGGAUUAGGGUUUGGAUGGGGAAGGCCCAGUGUCGUCUGGAUUAGGGUUUAGCAGGGGAAGGCCCAGUGUCGUCUGGAUUAGGGUUUGGAUGGGGAAGGCCCAGUGUCGUCUGGAUUAGGGUUUAGCAGGAGAAGGUCCAGUGUCGUCUGGAUUAGGGUUUAGCAGGGGAAGGUCCAGUGUCGUCUGGAUUAGGGUUUGGCCGGGGAAGGUCCAGUGUCGUCUGGAUUAGGGUUUAGCAGGGGAAGGUCCAGUGUCGUCUGGAUUAGGGUUUAGCAGGGGAAGGCCCAGUGUCGUCUGGAUUAGGGUUUGGAUGGGGAAGGCCCAGUGUCGUCUGGAUUAGGUUUUGGAUGGGGAAGGCCCAGUGUCGUCUGGAUUAGGGUUUAGCAGGGGAAGGUCCAGUGUCGUCUGGAUUAGGGUUUAGCAGGGGAAGGUCCAGUGUCGUCUGGAUUAGGGUUUAGCAGGGGAAGGCCCAGUGUCGUCUGGAUUAGGGUUUAGCAGGGGAAGGUCCAGUGUUGUCUGGAUUAGGGUUUGGCCGGGGAAGGUCCAGUGUCGUCUGGAUUAGGGUUUGGCCGGGGAAGGCCUAGUGUCGUCUGGAUUAGGGUUUGGCAGGGGAAGGUCCAGUGUCGUCUGGAUUAGGGUUUGGCAGGGGAAGGCCCAGUGUCGUCUGGAUUAGGGUUUGGCAGGGGAAAGUCCAGUGUCGUCUGGAUUAGGGUUUGGCCGGGGAAGGCCCAGUGUCGUCUGGAUUAGGGUUUGGCAGGGGAAGGUCCAGUGUCGUCUGGAUUAGGGUUUGGCAGGGGAAGGUCCAGUGUCGUCUGGAUUAGGGUUUGGCAGGGGAAGGUCCAGUGUCGUCUGGAUUAGGGUUUGGCCGGGGAAGGCCCAGUGUCGUCUGGAUUAGUGUUUGGCCGGGGAAGGCCCAGUGUCGUCUGGAUUAGGGUUUGGCCGGGGAAGGCCCAGUGUCGUCUGGAUUAGGGUUUGGCCGGGGAAGGCCCAGUGUCGUCUGGAUUAGGGUUUGGCCGGGGAAGGCCCAGUGUGGUCUGUAUUAGGGUUUGGCCGUGGAAGGCCGUCAUUGUAAAUAAGAAUUUGUUCUUAACUGACUUGCCUAGUUAAAUGAAGGUUAUAGAAAAAGAAAAUGGUAAAAGUGAAAGUCACGCAGUAAAAUACUACUUGAGUAAAAGUAUUUGCUUUUAAAUGCUUUCUCCUAUAUUUCUCCUUCCCAUUCCCUAGGGCAUUAUCCUACAGUGCUUUCUCCUAUAUCCCUUCCCAUUCCCUAGUGCCUUAUCCUACAGUACUUUCUCCUAUAUCCCUUCCCUUCCCUAGGGCAUUAUCCUACAGUACUUUCCCAUAUAUCCCAUUCCCUAGUGCCUUAUCCUACAGUGUUUUCUCCCCUUCCCAUUCCCUAGUGCGAUAUCCUACAGUGCUUUCUCCCCUUCUCAUUCCCUAGCGCAUUAUCCUACAGUGCUUUCUCCCCUACCCAUUCCCUAGGGCAUUAUUCUACAGUACUUUCUCCUAUACCCAUUCCCUAGGGCAUUAUCCUACAGUGCUUUCUCCUAUACCCAUUCCCUGGCGCAUUAUCCUACAGUACUUUCUCCUAUACCCAUUCCCUAGUGCAUUAUCCUACAGUGCUUUCUCCUAUACCCAUUCCCUAGCGCAUUAUCCUACAGUGCUUUCUCCUAUACCCAUUCCCUAGCACAUUAUCCUACUGUGCUUUCUCCUAUACCCAUUCCCUGGCACAUUAUCCUACAGUGCUUUCUCCUGUACCCAUUCCCUAGGGCAUUAUCCUACAGUACUUUCUCCUAUACCCAUUCCCUAGCACAUUAUCCUACAGUGCUUUCUCCUGUACCCAUUCCCUGGCACAUUAUCCUACAGUGCUUUCUCCUGUACCCAUUCCCUAGCGCAUUAUCCUACAGUACUUUCUCCUAUACCCAUUCCCUAGUGCAUUAUCCUACAGUGCUUUCUCCUAUAUCCCUUCCCAUUCCCUAGCGCAUUAUCCUACAGUGCUUUCUCCCCUUCCCAUUCCCUAGCGCAUUAUCCUACAGUGCUUUCUCCCCUACCCCUUCCCUAGGGCAUUAUCCUACAGUACUUUCUCAUAUACCCCAUUCCCUAGGGCAUUAUCCUACAGUACUUUCUCAUAUACCCCAUUCCCUAGGGCAUUAUCCUACAGUACUUUCUCAUAUACCCCAUUCCCUAGGGCAUUAUCCUACAGUGCUUUCUCCCCUACCCCUUCCCUAGGGCAUUAUCCUACAGUACUUUCUCAUAUACCCCAUUCCCUAGUGCCUUAUCCUACAGUGCUUUCUCCCCUUCCCAUUCCCUAGUGCGAUAUCCUACAGUGCUUUCUCCCCUUCUCAUUCCCUAGCGCAUUAUCCUACAGUGCUUUCUCCCCUACCCAUUCCCUAGGGCAUUAUUCUACAGUACUUUCUCCUAUACCCAUUCCCUGGCGCAUUAUCCUACAGUGCUUUCUCCUGUACCCAUUCCCUAGCGCCUUAUCCUACAGUACUUUCUCCUAUACCCAUUCCCUAGGGCAUUAUCCUACAGUGCUUUCUCCUAUACUCUAUACAAUCUGAAAAGAUUGUCAGUGUUUCGAGCUCCAGUCUUUUUCUGGAUGUAACUGUGUAACCAUUGAUUUCUUGUUAAGCUAAUAUUUAACCCGUCAAUGCUGUUUUUCUCUUGGCAGUAUAACUGACUACAUUUGAAGGUUUUAUGUGUUUCUGAGGGAAAAACCUACGAGAGGACAAGGAAGAAUAAUAUGAUUCAAAUAGACAGGAAGGAGAAAUUGCCUUUAUUGUUUACCAUAACACGCAUCAUACACUAUCAUACAGCAUGUUAUUAAAACAGGACUAAACUAACUGAAGUUCUCAAUGGUGAUGUAAUAAUGACUUGUCAAUGGUGAUGACAUCUUGUUCUGCCUCUCCUCCAGCUGACUAUGAGGACUGGUUUCACCAUAACUGACUUCUGAAGCUUCGGUUUUGACACUGGGAUAGGGUAUAUUUUACACUUUCCCUCAUUGGUGCUGAGAAUAGCUGGCUACUGUGACUCCCUUUUCUGUGUGUGUGAGAGAGAGUGAGACCAAGGGAGAGAUUAUUUGAAAAGAAGAGGAAGAAAUGUGAGUGCAGGGAAGAGUGAUAUGAUCCCUUAGCAUCUCGGAGCCAAGGACACACAAAACCACAUCUCGUUAGUUUGAGCAAUGCUUUUAGAUUUAUUUGACAGAAUAUUACAGUAGUGCUAUAACCCUUCACACAACCUCUAUAACCCUUCACACAGUUGCUAUAAGCCUUCCCUUUGCCCUUAUGUAGACAGGAUGAGCAGUGAGCUGAGACAUGCUCUGUAAUGAACAACACCUCAAAGCAAUGUGGAAAAAACACUAGACUAGGACUCAUAUUUAUAUUAUUAUUUACAAAUCAUGUUCAAUUACAACAUUUUGAUAUCUGUCUAUUUCAAAAGACACUGCUUUUGGUCACGAAAACAUGUUUAUUGUUAUUCCAUUAUUUUAUCAUCAAUAAAUAACUGUUCUCCAGUA